UUUUCUCCAUUGUAUUUUUCAGAUAAUUCUUUUAAAGUGUUGUUUUCAAUUCUUAACUCUUUAUUUUUCAUAUCAAGUUUCUUAUAAUCACUAACUAACUCAUUGAAGGUAUCAUAUAAUUCAUCGAAAGUGAAACUAGGUGAUGCAUUAGAACUUACCUCAUUAUCUUGAACCAUAAGGCAAAUGUUGGCUACUUCUUGGGGUUCUUCUUCUGAUGAGGAUUCGUCGCUAUCUCCCCACAUUGCAACAAAUGUCUUCUUCUUUUUCUUCAGUGG
rnacentral:lncRNA from 1 species